CCCCCCCCGGGCGCCCGCCUGGGGGUCCCGUUCCUGCUGCACGACCUGCUGGGGGCACAGGAGCUGCUCAGCGUCCCCACCCCCGCGGGUCCCCUCCUGCGAUUGGCCGAGCCCUGACUGGACCCUUCCCAGGAUGCACCGGGGCGACCGAAGGGGCGUGACCCUCGUUCAGCCACGCCCAUCCGUCCAGGAGAGGGGGUGGGGCCACAACAGCCCCCGCCCCUUCAAACGGGCGCCACUCUGGGUGUGGCCCUGCCUUAGCCCCGCCCCCCCGCGGGCGGGGGGGGGUCUCCCCGGUUUGGGUGGGAGCAACAAAAGUGCAAUAAAGCAAUAAAAGCGAUAAAAACGGUAAAA